GCAGCGGUGGUUCAGUGAUAGAAUCCUCACCUUCAAUGGGGGAGACAGGGUUCAAUUCCCAGCCAGUGCA
rnacentral:tRNA from 1 species